AUUGAACGCUGGCGGCAUGCCUUACACAUGCAAGUCGAACGGCAGCACGGGAGCAAUCCUGGUGGCGAGUGGCGAACGGGUGAGUAAUAUAUCGGAACGUGCCCAGUGAUGGGGGAUAGCCCGGCGAAAGCCGGAUUAAUACCGCAUACGACCUACGGGUGAAAGCAGGGGAUCGCAAGACCUUGCGUCAUUGGAGCGGCCGAUAUCAGAUUAGCUUGNGGUAGGGGUAAAGCCUACCAAGGCGACGAUCUGUAGCUGGUCUGAGAGGACGACCAGCCACACUGGGACUGAGACACGGCCCAGACUCCUACGGGAGGCAGCAGUGGGGAAUUUUGGACAAUGGGCGCAAGCCUGAUCCAGCCAUG
rnacentral:rRNA from 1 species